AAGUCGUAACAAGGUCUCCGUUGGUGAACCAGCGGAGGGAUCAUUACCGAGUUUACAACUCCCAAACCCAUGUGAACAUACCUAUCGUUGCUUCGGCGGAUCGCCCCGGGCGCCUUGCGUGCCCCGGAUCCAGGCGGCCGCCGGGGGACCUUAACUCUUGUUUUUACUGAGAAUCUUCUGAGUCGUUUUUACAAAUAAAUAAAAACUUUCAACAACGGAUCUCUUGGUUCUG
rnacentral:misc_RNA from 1 species